AACCCCUGCUGCCAGUUGCCAACGGGUGGAAGCCGGGCACUCUGGCGGGACUGCCAUCGACAAGGAUGGAGGAAGGUGGGGAUGACGUCAAGUCAUCAUGGCCCUUAUGUCCAGGGCGACACACGUGCUACAAUGGCCGGCACAGCGGGAAGCGAGGCAGUGAUGCCGAGCGGAUCCCUUAAAGCCGGUCUCAGUUCGGAUUGAAGUCUGCAACUCGACUUCAUGAAGCUGGAAUCGCUAGUAAUCGCAGAUCAGCCAAGCUGCGGUGAAUACGUUCCCGGGCCUU
rnacentral:rRNA from 1 species